AGAAAUAACAAUACAGGGCCUAACGGUCUUGUAAUUGGAAUGAGUGAAGUAUAAACCCCUUUACAAGUAUCAAUUGGAGGGCAAGUCUGGUGCCAGCAGCCGCGGUAAUUCCAGCUCCAAUAGCGUAUAUUAAAGUUGUUGCAGUUAAAAAGCUCGUAGUUGGAUUUCUGUUGUAUUUUUAUAAUAUUAUUAAGGUAAUAUUUAUAAUAUCAACAUCCUUCCUAUUAUAUUUUUAAUAUAUAGGAAAUUUUACUUUGAGAAAAUUAGAGUGCUUAAAGCAGGCAACUGCCUUGAAUACUCCAGCAUGGAAUAAUAAGUAAGGACUUUUGUCUUUCUUGUUGGUUCUAGGAUAAAAGUAAUGGUUAAUAGGGACAGUUGGGGGCAUUCGUAUUUAACAGUCAGAGGUGAAAUUCUUAGAUUUGUUAAAGACGAACUACUGCGAAAGCAUUUGCCAAGGAUGUUUUCAUUAAU
rnacentral:rRNA from 1 species